rnacentral:lncRNA from 1 species
UGGAGGAGGAAAGAGGUAAGAAGAAAAUGGUGACAAGCUGGACAGCUAACAGAAGGGUGAAGUUAGGAGGCCUGAAGUCAAGCCACUAGCAUCAUUAUCCAAAAGUUAUUUUUGGGGAGAAAUAACAACAUUUUCAAAACUAAUUGAACUAGAGACCAUGUUUAGGUUGGAAAUACCCACUCGGUCACUUCAACUAGGAUGUUUUGGCAACACAUCUGUCCCUUACUGGUUUGGUGAAUGCUCUGAUGAUAUCUGUAAUACUAGGCACCACAGAGUUUAUGGGCUCUGUGGUAGAUGCAAUCUUUGCUAAAGCAGCUUGGCCAGGGGCUCCCUGGAUACUGCCUCAAGGCUCUGGAGUGAGAGUUUUCAAGCAUUACAGGCACAGAUGUUUUGGAAAUCUAAAGAACUUAGAUUUUGUCCAAAGCAGUGGUCUGGAAGUGAUGACCUAUUUCCAACUAAUGUGGUAAUCCUUUUCAACUCAAUAUUUUAAAAAAUUCUGCACAUGCC